CGCGCGGCGCGAGGAGCCGCCGGCCGCACGAUCCGCCCCGGUGCGGCAGCCUUGCCAAACAGGAAGGUGUGAGACUUACCUGCAAUUCUUCGUACUAGAGAAAAGUUGUUGCUCUUGAGGGGCAGGUCACAAGGCAAAGUGUAUUAAUUGUGGUUAAACCGUCACUCUGAGGCGUGGUUCUCAACUUGAGGCAAUUCUACCUCCACUUCCCCCAGGGACAUACGGCAAUGCCUGGAGAAUCUUACGGUUGUCACAGCUGCGGAGGGAGUGCUGCUGGUUUCUACAGGCAGAGGCCAGGGAUGCUGCUACACAGCUUGCAGUGCACAGGACAGUCCCCACACCAAAGCCCCUUACCAUUUACACUGCACUUGUCUUCUUUAGUCCUCACAACCACCACUUUAAGGAUGAGGAAACUGAGACUCAAGAGACCUAAGAACACCAGAAAAUAAGAGAAAACUCAGAAGAAUGACAUCCUCUUGACAUUUUCUUCAGCUAAACUAAAUGUCAUAAAUCCAAAGAUGGCACUGA